rnacentral:misc_RNA from 1 species
GGACUACAGGGGUUUCUAAUCCUGUUUGCUCCCCACGCUUUCGCACCUCAGCGUCAAUACUUGUCCAGCGAGUCGCCUUCGCCACUGGUGUUCUUCCGAAUAUCUACGAAUUUCACCUCUACACUCGGAAUUCCACUCGCCUCUCCAAGAUUCUAGCUUCCCAGUUUCAAGGGCAGUUCCGGGGUUGAGCCCCGGGAUUUCACCCCUGACUUAAAAAGCCGCCUACGUGCGCUUUACGCCCAGUAAUUCCGAACAACGCUAGCUCCCUCCGUAUUACCGCGGCUGCUGGCACC